UAGGAUUUGGUGUAGUGGGUGGCGCGAAGAAUUUUGAAUUCUUAGGGGUAGGUUCAAAUCCUAUAAUCCUAG
rnacentral:tRNA from 1 species